AUCGGACUUCACCCCCCGCCCUCCGCCAUGGCUUGUUGGCUCAAUGUCGCUGAAGACUUAUUUGAGGUUGUAGACCGGAGAGUAAAACUUGUUGCUGGUGAGUUGUCAGAUGAGCAGGCUGCCUCACAAGCCUCAGGUACAGAUACUUGCCAUCAUUUAUUGCAACUCCACCAAGCUAGUAAUACUUUGUGCAUCCAAUGGUCAAGAAGUUCAAGCCAGGAAGGCCAAAACAAAGAAGGGUCCAUUAAAACUCUCCAGCACUGAAACUUAUAAAGGCAUCAGACCUGAGCAAGACCAGAAAAGCAAACAACCAUCAGUACAAAAUGAGAAGACUGAUUGUGUUAAGAUUUCUCCAUCUGAACAUUCUCUUGAUGUUAGCAUUAACGACACUGCAGAAACAAGCACAGAACCACCUUCUGAUAACCACAAAGAUACAGUGAUAUCAGGUGGCAAAAGUGUUUAAGGUAGAAAUGGUAUAGACAAUGUGGUGGAAGUCCCAUCUAUAGACAAUAACAAACAAACCACUACUUCCUCUACAAAUGAUGAUGUCAACAUUACAAAUUCAAAAGAUGAGCUUGAAAGGCCUUCCAGCCCUCCAUCAAUAGGUAAAGGGAUUGGGAUUGCCAACGGAGUUCAUCCUGCUGAUGCUGAACCAGAAGUCGAUUUGGUGGAUGAAACUGCCUUCUUGACUGACGACAAAGAAAUACCUGAAUCUGAAGGCAGUGGAAAGCCAUAGCACCAGCAACACCCAAGAAAAUGAGAAAGAGGUUUUUCUCGAGCCUUCACCAAACAUGAACAAGCAACGGCAGCAUAAGACUGAUGCCACUCCAAUGAAAGUUCAAGACCAGCUUGAUGAGUUGGCUGGCAGGCUCAGGGAUUGCUUAAGAGUGCAGUGAAAACUGGUCAGUCAAAAGAGGCCAGGUUAGCAAGGUUAGAUUUAUCACAUACGACCUUGCAUUCAUCAUAUUGUUUCACUCAAGAUUUGCUAUACUGGUGUGUACUGCCCUAUAAUGGAUGCACCAUACCGUACAGGUACCGAACCGAGACUUGGUACGGGGGUAUAUCGAGUCUCGGUAAUAUCAAAUUGAUCCUUGUAUAGUUGUAUCAGGCACACUGAUACUGUACCAGCAUAGUACUGAAAUGAUAUCUAGUACCGGGAUAGUGAAUCUUGGUUUCGCCU